rnacentral:rRNA from 1 species
UACGUAGGGUGCAGGCGUUAAUCGGAAUUACUGGGCGUAAAGCGUGCGCAGGCGGUUCGUUGUGUCGGCGGUGAAAGCCCCGGGCUUAACCUGGGAAUGGCCGUUGAAACUGGCGAACUGGAGUGUGGCAGAGGGGGGUGGAAUUCCGCGUGUAGCAGUGAAAUGCGUAGAGAUGCGGAGGAACACCGAUGGCGAAGGCAGCCCCCUGGGCUAACACUGACGCUCAGGCACGAAAGCGUGGGGAGCAAACAGG